rnacentral:rRNA from 1 species
UACGUAGGCAGCGAGCGUUGUUCGGAUUUAUUGGGCGUAAAGAGCUCGUAGGCGGUCUGUCGCGUCUGCUGUGAAAACUCAGGGCUUAACCCUGAGCUUGCAGUGGGUACGGGCAGACUAGAGUGCGGUAGGGGAGACUGGAAUUCCUGGUGUAGCGGUGAAAUGCGCAGAUAUCAGGAGGAACACCGGUGGCGAAGGCGGGUCUCUGGGCCGUAACUGACGCUGAGGAGCGAAAGCGUGGGGAGCGAACAGG